rnacentral:rRNA from 1 species
UUCUCCUACGGGAGGCAGCAGUGGGGAAUAUUGCACAAUGGGGGAAACCCUGAUGCAGCAACGCCGCGUGAGUGAAGAAGUCAUUCGUGAUGUAAAGCUCUAUCAGCAGGGAAGAAAAUGACGGUACCUGAGUAAGAAGCCCCGGCUAACUACGUGCCAGCAGCCGCGGUAAUACGUAGGGGGCAAGCGUUAUCCGGAUUUACUGGGUGUAAAGGGAGCGUAGACGGCAGUGCAAGUCUGGAGUGAAAGCCUGGGGCUCAACCCCGGAACUGCUUUGGAAACUGUGCUGCUUGAGUACCGGAGGG